ensembl:snRNA
GUGUUGUAUGAAGGGAGAGGUUAGCAGUCUCCUUGACAAGGAUGGAAGAGGCCCUCAGGCCUGACAACACACAUACAUUCAAGGCAUUGCCACCUACUUGUGGCAUCUCACCACUCCCUCAC